rnacentral:sRNA from 1 species
UUUGGGCACAGUGCCAUGAGCCUGUAGUCCCAGCUACUCGGGAGGCUGAGGUAGGAGGAUCACUUGAGCCCAGGAGUUUGAGGACAGCCUGGGCAAUAUAGUAGGACCCCAUCUCAA